CUUGUGGCAGCCAAGCGUU
rnacentral:snRNA from 1 species